GACUAGUGUAGCUUAGACUAGAUUGCUUAAAUAGUCCUGUAUAGAUUAAAGUUACUUGUAUAGUUGUGUUGGGUCAUAAUUCAGGUUUAGGAUAGGAGAAUUGUAGGUGCAGUUCUGGUUUUUAGUUCUUAGCAAGAUUAACUUAGUGACUUAGCCUAGUCUAGUUUAGGUAGUUUUGAAUAGCAUGGUAAUUCUAACUUGUGUUUUUGUAAUUGUAGUGCAGCUAAAUGAAAUAAGGUCAAGAAUGAAAUGGUGAUCAAAACUAGUCAGCACAUACAACUCAGAAUUAGCUUGGCAAUUAUGCAGAGUUGACCAGAGAGUUCACCCAAAGUUGACUUUUUGGAAUUGAUCUCCAAAUGCUAUGACAGCUGAUGGAAGCCCAAAAGGACAUUGAUUCACACUUGUGCUGAGUUGUUUUGACGUAUAGAAGUGAAAGAAGCUGCUCUAAUUAGUCAAUUCGUAGAAAUGAGCAAAUCUUGUGUAGUGAACCAAAUAAACCAUGGGUUUGAGCUUAAGUAAGAUGCUGAAUGAAGUCUACACGUGCUGUAUAGUUAAAAUUGCUAAAAUUGAUGUUGUGCAGGAGAAGCAAGCUGUUGAGAAGAGCUUAACCAAGGUUGAGAAAGUUGGAACUGCUGACAUAUUGUGGUAGAAGUUGAUUGACCAUUUGAAGUCUGCACAUGUUGUCAAGAUGCUGGAGCUGCUGAGUUAUCAACUAAUACAAAUGUGACCUACAAUAGCCAGUAGGAGUCCAAAAUACACAACUGAAGAACUGUGUAAACCUGCAUUAACCAGUAGCUUAAAGAUAAGUGACCCAUUGACUAGCUACUUGGGUGACUCGUUGAAGAAUUAAGUUAUUUAAUAGUUAGUUUAGUUUAUGAUAGUUUAGGAUAGAUAUAAUUACCUGUAAAACUUGUCUUGAUUGUUACUUUACAGUUUGUAGUAUUUUCUAGUUUAUGUGAG
rnacentral:sRNA from 1 species